rnacentral:lncRNA from 1 species
GACGAUCUGGGGCAGUAAAUAAAAUAGGUCUAGUACUGGUACGACGCCUUAUUUAUUUGGACCAAACGUCUCAGUUUCUUUCUUUUUUGCAUGCAUCUCUCUCUCUCUAUAUAUUCUGUACAUGUUACAUGAAGAGAUAAUCUUGUGAUCCAAUCCAACCAAAUAUCAUUCCACUGACCGGCUUCCUGCCUAUAAAUAGUGUUGCCUCCCCAGCCGUAUGGGCACCAGAAACCCCUUAAGCUGCUAGUCUCGUCUUCUCUGCUCUUCCUACCUUCCUCUAGCUAUAGCAACACCUUGCCCACAUUCGAUGUCUCCCACGGGUGCUUCCGCUCUCAAGGUUGCGGCUAUCGCCGUCUGCCUCGGGCUGGUUCUGUCGUCCAUGAGGCAGCCAGUGUUCGCGCAGACCCAGUCCCAGCAGCAAGCUUGCACCACAACUUGCGCCAGCGCGUGCAAUAUUGUGGCGAAGGCAGCCUGCCCCGGCUUCUGCGCAGGCAACCCAACUCCCACUAAUCCGCUGGCUUGCAACGCUUGCAACACGACGGCCAAUGCAGAUUGCAACAAUCAGUGCGCCCCCGCCUGCUUCCUCAACCCAGAUCCCAACGCUUAAUGUUUAUCAUCCAUGUCCGUGCUGUUGCUUAAGAGCUAAUGUUUACUGAAUAAUUAAGCAUGCCGACUGGGCUGCAUGUAUGUUGUGUUGCUUUCUGUUCUAUUUCCCUUGCAAAUGAUGUAAAGCCGUCGGCCUACUGGCUGGCUGGCUCAUGUAGAAAAUCGCUCUAUGUGAUUGGUGUUCCUGGGCUUUGAUGAAUUGAAAUCAUGUUGCUAUGUGUUUCAGUAUUAACUUAUCAGCAUCCAUCUCUGUCAAUCUCGAUCACCAUGUUGUGAAAAAGAAGAUUUCCCUCUGCAAAUC